rnacentral:rRNA from 1 species
UACGUAGGGCGCAAGCGUUGUCCGGAAUUAUUGGGCGUAAAGCGCGCGCAGGCGGUCCCUUAAGUCUGAUGUGAAAGCCCACGGCUCAACCGUGGAGGGUCAUUGGAAACUGGGGGACUUGAGUACAGAAGAGGAAAGCGGAAUUCCACGUGUAGCGGUGAAAUGCGUAGAGAUGUGGAGGAACACCAGUGGCGAAGGCGGCUUUCUGGUCUGUAACUGACGCUGAGGCGCGAAAGCGUGGGGAGCAAACAGG